rnacentral:pre_miRNA from 1 species
CAACUACUCUCUCCGUCCGGAAAUACUUGUCAUCAAAAUGGAUAAAAGGGGAUGUAUCUAGACAUAUUUUAGUUCUAGAUACAUCCCCUUUUAUCCAUUUUGAUGACAAGUAUUUCCGGACGGAGGGAGUACCAG